rnacentral:tRNA from 1 species
GGGGCCUUAGCUCAGCUGGGAGAGCGCCUGCUUUGCCACGCAGGAGGUCAGCGGUUCGAUCCCGGCUAGGCUCCACCA